GAUGAACGCUGGCGGCGUGCCUAAUACAUGCAAGUCGAGCGAACGGACGAGAAGCUUGCUUCUCUGAUGUUAGCGGCGGACGGGUGAGUAACACGUGGAUAACCUACCUAUAAGACUGGGAUAACUUCGGGAAACCGUAGCUAAUACCGGAUAAUAUUUUGAACCGCAUGGUUCAAAAGUGAAAGACGGUCUUGCUGUCACUUAUAGAUGGACCCGCGCUGCAUUAGCUAGUUGGUAAGGUAACGGCUUACCAAGGCAACGAUGCAUAGCCGACCUGAGAGGGUGAUCGGCCACACUGGAACUGAGACACGGUCCAGACUCCUACGGGAGGCAGCAGUAGGGAAUCUUCCGCAAUGGGCGAAAGCCUGACGGAGCAACGCCGCGUGAGUGAUGAAGGUCUUCGGAUCGUAAAACUCUGUUAUUAGGGAAGAACAUAUGUGUAAGUAACUGUGCACAUCUUGACGGUACCUAAUCAGAAAGCCACGGCUAACUACGUG
rnacentral:rRNA from 1 species